rnacentral:rRNA from 1 species
UGCCAGCCGCCGCGGUAAUACGGAGGGGGUUAGCGUUGCUCGGAAUUACUGGGCGUAAAGCGCACGUAGGCGGUUCGGAAAGAAAGAUGUGAAAUCCCAGGGCUCAACCUUGGAACUGCAUUUUUAACUGCCGAGCUAGAGUAUGUCAGAGGGGGGUAGAAUUCCACGUGUAGCAGUGAAAUGCGUAGAUAUGUGGAGGAAUACCGAUGGCGAAGGCAGCCCCCUGGGAUAAUACUGACGCUCAGACACGAAAGCGUGGGGAGCAAACAGGAUUAGAUA